rnacentral:rRNA from 1 species
AUUGAACGCUGGCGGCAUGCCUUACACAUGCAAGUCGAACGGUAGCAGGUCUUCGGAUGCUGACGAGUGGCGAACGGGUGAGUAAUACAUCGGAACGUGCCCAGUCGUGGGGGAUAACUACUCGAAAGAGUAGCUAAUACCGCAUACGAUCUGAGGAUGAAAGCGGGGGACCUUCGGGCCUCGCGCGAUUGGAGCGGCCGAUGGCAGAUUAGGUCGUUGGUGGGAUAAAAGCUUACCAAGCCGACGAUCUGUAGCUGGUCUGAGAGGACGACCCGCCACACUGGGACUGAGACACGGCCCAGACUCCUACGGGAGGCAGCAGUGGGGAAUGUUGGACAAUGGGCGAAAGCCUGAUCCAGCGAUGCCGCGUGCAGGAUGAAGGCCUUCGGGUUGUAAACUGCUUUUGUACGGAACGAAAAAGCUUCUCCUAAUACGAGAGGCCCAUGACGGUACCGUAAGAAUAAGCACCGGCUAACUACGUGCCAGCAGCCGCCGUAAAAC